rnacentral:rRNA from 1 species
CAGCAGCCGCGGUAAUACCGGCGGCCCGAGUGGCGGUCACUAUUAUUGGGCUUAAAGCGUCCGUAGCCGGGUUGGGAAGUCCUCCGGGAAAUCUGGCCGCUUAACGGUCAGAAUGCCGGAGGAUACUCCCAGCCUAGGGAGCGGGAGAGGCCGAGGGUAUUCCCGGAGUAGGGGUGAAAUCCUAUAAUCCCGGGAGGACCACCUGUGGCGAAGGCGCUCGGCUGGAACGCGUCCGACGGUGAGGGACGAAGGCCAGGGGAGCAAACCGGAUUAGGUACCCGGGUAGUCCUGGCUGUAAACGAUGCGGACUUUGUGUCGGACAAGCUAUGAGCUUGUCCGGUGCCGGAGGGAAACCGUUAAGUCCGCCGCCUGGGGAGUACGGCCGCAAGGCUGAAACUUAAAGGAAUUGGCGGG